AAGUCGUAACAAGGUUUCCGUAGGUGAACCUGCGGAAGGAUCAUUAAUGAAUUACAAGUCGGUCGUCUGUGCUGGCGGAAACGCAUGUGCACGUCGAUCGCAAAUCCACACACCUGUGCACCCUUGACUCUGAGAUUCGCUUGUUGGCUUGUCUGGCUUGCAGUCGGUCGACUUUGGUUGACCUGGAUCUGGGAGUAUUUUUACACACUCUGAAUGUAAUGGAAUGUCUAUGUGCAUAACGCGCAAAAUAACAACUUUCAACAACGGAUCUCUUGGCUCUC
rnacentral:misc_RNA from 1 species